rnacentral:misc_RNA from 1 species
AAGUCGUAACAAGGUUUCCGUAGGUGAACCUGCGGAAGGAUCAUUACACAGUAGUUUUCUACUGCUUGAGGGAGCUGAAAGUUAUUUCAACGAGUAGGCUGCCUGUUUGUACCCUUGUCUUUUGCGUACCUAUUGUUUCCUCGGUGGGCUUGCCUGCCGGUUGGACAACUAUAAACUCUUUUUAGUUUCAAUCAGCGUCUAAAUCAACAUAAUAAUUACAACUUUCAACAACGGAUCUCUUGGUUCUG